rnacentral:rRNA from 1 species
UCGAUGAAGAACGCAGCGAAAUGCGAUAAGUAAUGUGAAUUGCAGAAUUCUANGUGAAUCAUCGAAUCUUUGAACGCACCUUGCGCCCCUUGGCUAUUCCGAGGGGCAUGCCUGUUUGAGUAUCAUNGAACACCUCAACUCUCAUGGUUUGCCAUGAUNGAGUUGGACUCUGGGGGUUUUGCUGGCCUGUGGUCGGCUNCCUCUCAAAUUAAUCAGCCUCCCAGUGUUUGGUGGCAUCACGGGUGUGAUAAAUAUCUACGCUCGCUGUUGUCUGCCAGGUAACCUUUGGUCACAAAGGUUUGCUGGAGCUCACAGAUGUCUCUCCUCAGCGAGGACAGCUUUUUUAACGUUCGAUCUCAAAUCAGGUAGGACUACCCGCUGAACUUAA